UUCUUUCCCUCAAGUCUGUAGAAGGACAACUUUCCCCCUUCUUUUUUUAUCGCCAGUUCUCUGCAAAUAAAUGCAAAAAAGGUUUCAAAAAGCUUUCUUAGCUUCAACAAAAUGCGAUCCCCUUCUUGUAAGAUUCCCAUUUCCUUUCCACCCUUCUUUUUUUUCAAUUUCGAUGCUUCUUUUCUCUUUUUAAGUCAUUCUCUGCGUAAAGGUGCUUGCUUUUUGUUCUAUUGUUUCGUUUUUUUCAUUUGGGUAUGUCUCCUCUUUCCCCCUUAACUUUUUUUUUUUCGCUACUUUUCUUUUCUGUCUAAUGUUUUUCCUCUCACUGGGACUUAAUGGGUUCUGGGGGUGCACCCUUUUUUUCAGUUGCUGUGUUUCUCAUUGUAAAUGCAAAUUCCUUGUUUUCUGACACAGAAUUUUGAAAUUAAUGAUUCAGUUUAAUUUAUCAUUUUUGUUGAUGUUUAUAACAGUUUCUUAGAUUCGAUUAACUUUGUUUUUUUUUUCAAAAAAGAAAUAUAUUUGUUGUUGUGGAGGGGGUGUGUUUGUUCCGCUUUUGGACCUUUGUGUUUAUGAUAUUGACCCCCUGUUUCAACAAGCAUUAUGUGGGGUCCAGCUAACUGGGAAUAUCGACAUGAAGAUAAAAUUCCCCAAUUUUAUGAGCACCCAAACGGAAAAUUUGACCUUUUCUAAAUAUGCUUCUCGAUGUUGCUGAUAUGCAUUUUUUUUUUUUUGGUUUCUUUACUUGCAUGUGGGUUUCAUUUCCAGAAUUUCUGAAGCAAAGUUACAUGGUCUAGAGGUUGUUUGGACAAACAAUCUAGAAUUUCCUUGGAGUGUAG
rnacentral:lncRNA from 1 species